UCAAAUGUUUUUAUUUUUAUAGGCCUUACUAUUUAAUUGUAGAAUUAUGAUUUUUAAAUGUUUCGUUAUGUUUAUUUAUGGAUUGAGGAGCAUGCGCAGGCCUGAGUUCCAUGUCAUAUGAGUGGAGGUGAGAAGAUAGCUUUCAGGAAUCCGUUCUCUCCUUCCACCGCAUGGAUCCCAAGGAUUGAACUCAGAUCGCCAAGCUUGGUACAACAUGUGGCAGCUCCUUCCCCAGCACCAUGUCUGCUGCACACUGCUGCACUCCCUGCCAUGAUGAUAAUGGACGACACCUCUGAAACUGUGAGCUGCCACCCCAGUGAAAUGUUUGCCUUUCUAAGAGUUGCUGUGGCCGUGGUGUCUUCAUAGCCGUAGAGAUGCUGCCUGAGACAGACUGUCAGCUCUGUCAGCGUCAGAGGUACAUCCUUGCAAGGCAAGACGUGAAACAGCCCAGAAAACAGAAGAAGACAAGAAGAUUGAAGGGGAAAAGGAAAUGGUAUAAUUGCAGAGACACAGGAGCUAGAGCCGGCAGAAAUGAUGAAAGCUGUGGGCGUGAGUGACAGAAGAGACCCCUUAAAGAGGGACCAGAAAUCAGUUCCAUAGCUCACGUGCUCUGGAGGUCUGGAAACUGUGUGGCUGCUUGCAGAGAGACUACUGACCGGUGAGGAUGAUGGCACACAAUGUCACCUCUACUUCAGUUCCCGCCUCCAGGUUUCUACCCGGCUCGAGUCCCUGUCCUGCUCCCCUCAGCGAUGGACUGAGAUGGGGAACUGUAAACUGAAAUAAACCCUUUCCUCGCCAGGUUGCUUUUUGUCAUGUUUAUCACAGCAGUAAACAAAGGCAAAGGGUGCUUAUGAUUAAAGUAUGUGAUAUGCUUGUGUGAGUGUGAAAAUAUCUUUAUGAAACCCAUAACUAUGUGCA